AGAGUUUGAUCCUGGCUCAGAUUGAACGCUGGCGGCAUGCCUAACACAUGCAAGUCGAACGGAAACGAUGCUAGCUUGCUAGCAGGCGUCGAGUGGCGGACGGGUGAGUAAUGUAUAGGGAUCUGCCUAGUAGUGGGGGACAACAUGUGGAAACGCAUGCUAAUACCGCAUACGCUCUACGGAGGAAAGUGGGGGACCUUUCGGGGCCUCAUGCUACUAGAUGAACCUAUAUUGGAUUAGCUUGUUGGUAAGGUAAUGGCUUACCAAGGCGACGAUCCAUAGCUGGUUUGAGAGAAUGAUCAGCCACACUGGGACUGAGACACGGCCCAGACUCCUACGGGAGGCAGCAGUGGGGAGUAUUGCACAAUGGAGGAAACUCUGAUGCAGCAAUGCCGCGUGUGUGAAGAAGGCCUUAGGGUUGUAAAGCACUUUCAGACGUGAGGAAAAGUAAUAAUUUAAUAAAUUAUUGCCUUGACGUUAACGUCAGAAGAAGGACCGGCUAACUCCGUGCCAGCAGCCGCGGUAAUACGGAGGGUCCAAGCGUUAAUCGGAAUUACUGGGCGUAAAGCGCGCGUAGGCGGAUAUUUAAGUCAGAUGUGAAAUCCCUGGGCUCAACCUAGGAACUGCAUUUGAUACUGGAUAUCUAGAGUAUGGUAGAGGUGAGUGGAAUUUCAGGUGUAGCGGUGAAAUGCGUAGAGAUCUGAAGGAACAUCAGUGGCGAAGGCGACUCACUGGGCCAUUACUGACGCUGAGGUGCGAAAGCGUGGGUAGCAAACAGGAUUAGAUACCCUGGUAGUCCACGCCCUAAACGAUGUCAACUAGGUGUAUGGGAGUUUAACUCCUGUGUAUCGAAGCUAACGCGAUAAGUUGACCGCCUGGGGAGUACGGUCGCAAGACUAAAACUCAAAUGAAUUGACGGGGGCCCGCACAAGCG
rnacentral:rRNA from 1 species